rnacentral:sRNA from 1 species
UCUUGGUCAAUUUAGAGGAAGUAAAAGUCGUAACAAGGUUUCCGUAGGUGAACCUGCGGAAGGAUCAUUAUUGAAUAACUGAAGUCAGUUGAGCUGGUCCUCUGGACAUGUGCUCGCUGCUUCUAUUCAUUCUAUCCACCUGUGCACCUUUUGUAGAGCUUUGAAGAGGGUCUUGACUUAGGUUGAGAUUAGUAUUCGGGUUUCUAUGUCUUAUACAAACUCUUUGAAUGUCUUGAAUGUCUUUAUAGGGACUUAAUUGACCCUUUAAACUUAAACAACUUUCAGCAACGGAUCUCUUGGCUCUCGCAUCGAUGAAGAACGCAGCGAAAUGCGAUAAGUAAUGUGAAUUGCAGAAUUCAGUGAAUCAUCGAAUCUUUGAACGCAACUUGCGCCCCUUGGUAUUCCGAGGGGCAUGCCUGUUUGAGUGUCAUUAAAUUCUCAACUUCAAAAGCUUUGUCUUUCUGAAGCUUGGAUGUGAAGGCUGCUGGCGUCUUAGAUGUUCAGCUCCUUUAAAAUGCAUUAGUGGACCCGUUUGUGUUCAACCUUAGUGUGAUAAUUAUCUACGCUAUGGCUUUGAAUACUUGCUCAUUAGAACUUUUCGGGGUGUUUUUACAUUCUCGGUUUGGAGGGUUGCAUUAGGUUGCUCCCUCUGUCUAUUGAGUUAGGAUUGUCUGCUUCAAACCGUCUGCACUUGUAGACAAUUUGAACCAUUUGACCUCAAAUCAGGUAGGACUACCCGCUGAACUUAAGCAUAUCAAUAAGCGGAGGAA